CUUUUUGAUAAAAAUGUUAGAUAUUUACUGUUUACGUGCACAUGUGGUUGAACAUCCUGGGCGUUGAUAUCUAGGCCUAGGCCUACAGUUUUGUUCAAUAAUAGUGGAAAUUAAAGCAAUUAAAUUUUUAUAAUGUGAAAAGUUUGAGUGAUCUUCAAGCCAUGAAUACUGUACACCACCACCUCUUUACCUUGCAGCAGAAUAUGAAAAGGUUGAGUGAUGAAUACUGUACACCACCACCUACAGUACUUUACCUUGCAGCAGGAAAACACUUGCCAAGCACAGAUGUAUAGUGGGUUGUCAAGACUACUAGUAGCAUUCAGUAGGAGCUUGUAAGCGUGAAGCAGAUAAAUGAUUGGCAGACUGAUUUGUGGGAAGCAUGCUAUGUAUAAAUAAAGCAGAUGAACUGUGGCAAACCAAGGCGUUUUACAGAAGGUUUCAGCCUAAAAACAAACUGUGGGAAAGCAAGACUAGUGUGUUUGAACCCUGUUAUACUGGUAUUUGAAGCAACACUUAGCAAAAUCAGAUUUUUGAAACGAAGAAAGUGUACAGUACUAUGAAAAGUCAUAUUUUAGAUAUAGAAUUGUGGGAAAUAAAGACUGAUUUGUUUGAAUUACAGUACAUACACUGUACCUGCAGCUUAGCGAACUCUAUUAUGUGGAGAUAAAGCAGAUGGAUUGUGGAACGUCUACAUUGCAACAGACAUUUAUUGUGCAUUCAUAAAACAGAUGGU